GUGUUGUGGAGAGAGGCACUGAGACUAGUGGUGUGGAGAGAGGCACUGAGGCUAGUGGUGGUGUGGAGAGAGGCACUGAGGCUAGUGGUGUUGUGGAGAGAGGCACUGAGGCUAGUGGUGUGGAGAGAGGCACUGAGGCUAGUGGUGUUGUGGAGAGAGGCACUGAGGCUAGUGGUGUUGUGAAGAGAGGCACUGAGGCUAGUGGUGUUGUGGAGAGAGGCACU